GAUGAACGCUGGCGGCGUGCCUAAUACAUGCAAGUCGAGCGAACAGACGAGGAGCUUGCUUCUCUGACGUUAGCGGCGGACGGGUGAGUAACACGUGGAUAACCUACCUAUAAGACUGGGAUAACUUCGGGAAACCGGAGCUAAUACCGGAUAAUAUAUUGAACCGCAUGGUUCAAUAGUGAAAGACGGUUUUGCUGUCACUUAUAGAUGGAUCCGCGCCGCAUUAGCUAGUUGGUAAGGUAACGGCUUACCAAGGCAACGAUGCGUAGCCGACCUGAGAGGGUGAUCGGCCACACUGGAACUGAGGCACGGUCCAGACUCCUACGGGAGGCAGCAGUGGGGAAUAUUGCACAAUGGGCGGAAGCCUGAUGCAGCGACGCCGCGUGGGGGAUGAAGGCCUUCGGGUUGUAAACUCCUUUCGACAGGGACGAAGCUUUUGUGACGGUACCUGUAUAAGAAGCACCGGCUAACUACGUGCCAGCAGCCGCGGUAAUACGUAGGGUGCGAGCGUUGUCCGGAAUUACUGGGCGUAAAGAGCUCGUAGGUGGUUUGUCGCGUCGUCUGUGAAAUUCCGGGGCUUAACUCCGGGCGUGCAGGCGAUACGGGCUGACUUGAGUGCUGUAGGGGAGACUGGAAUUCCUGGUGUAGCGGUGAAAUGCGCAGAUAUCAGGAGGAACACCGAUGGCGAAGGCAGGUCUCUGGGCAGUAACUGACGCUGAGGAGCGAAAGCAUGGGUAGCGAACAGGAUUAGAUACCCUGGUAGUCCAUGCCGUAAACGGUGGGCGCUAGGUGUAGGGGGCUUCCACGUCUUCUGUGCCGUAGCUAACGCAUUAAGCGCCCCGCCUGGGGAGUACGGCCGCAAGGCUAAAACUCAAAGGAAUUGACGGGGGCCCGCACAAGCGGCGGAGCAUGUGGAUUAAUUCGAUGCAACGCGAAGAACCUUACCUGGGCUUGACAUAUAGCGGACCGCUGCAGAGAUGUAGUUUCCCUUUGUGGUCGUUAUACAGGUGGUGCAUGGUUGUCGUCAGCUCGUGUCGUGAGAUGUUGGGUUAAGUCCCGCAACGAGCGCAACCCUUGUCUUAUGUUGCCAGCAUUUGGUUGGGGACUCAUGAGAGACUGCCGGGGUCAACUCGGAGGAAGGUGGGGAUGACGUCAAAUCAUCAUGCCCCUUAUGUCCAGGGCUUCACACAUGCUACAAUGGUCGGUACAACGCGCAGCGACACUGUGAGGUGGAGCGAAUCGCUGAAAGCCGGCCUUAGUUCGGAUUGGGGUCUGCAACUCGACCCCAUGAAGUCGGAGUCGCUAGUAAUCGCAGAUCAGCAAUGCUGCGGUGAAUACGUUCCCGGGCCU
rnacentral:rRNA from 1 species